GAAAGUCCACGUUCCCCCAAACCAGUAAGUUUAUAGCAACUGCUAUUUAUUUAUCGUGCAGAUAGUGUUACCUCUGUUGUCAUCGCUUAGCAUUUUCCUUUUGAUCAUAGCAACCGCCUUUACAAACGUCAUGGUAGAAUGUUUUAAGGCUUUAUCAAUGUUCCUAAUAAAUAACAUUGUCGCGGUCAUCCUUUCAACAAUGGUCGUACCUCAAAAAAUACCAAAACAGUCGACGACCAGCUGAUCAAACUAGCUCCAUUCAAUUUUGGUGUGUGCAGCGAGCACGGACCUCCACGUGAACAACCUCUCCCUCUACUUUAAUUACGGCUUGCAUACAACAACAGCAGAAGCAGCGGUGUUAUUACAAUCGUACUUUCUCUUUCUGCUGUAAAUAACGGAGCCUGUUUAUGUUUGUUGGAGAGCGACACAGCUUCUGCACUUUGCACGGUACCUAGCUCUUAUGUGGAGGGAGUUGCCCCACUAAUUGCUAGCUACACCAGGUCGAUAUCCACGGCAACGGGCAUUUACAGAAAGACCAAUUAACGGGUGAAUGUGAACUGUAUACACAUGUAUCUAUUUAUGUCUACGGAAAGUGUUUGCUUGGUGUUUCAUGUCUCUCUGCAUCUAGAUAAGACCCAUCACACAUAGCAUUACAUUCAAGUAAACACACGUACACAUGUACCCACUGUAAUUACGAAUACACACACGUAUAUAGACACGCAUUGUUUUUGCACACACCUUUCCAAAGUUAUGUAUAUUAACGCAGAAAUAAAUAAAUAAUAACAAAACAAUCAUUCAGAAAACCAAUAGAGAGACGGAAAAAAAAAAUAUUAAACAAAAAAUAUAAGGAAAGAGAGAAGCAACACGCGAUUUCAGCGAGUGAUAUAGCAGUCCAACACUUACAUUUUCCAGUGUCUGUCUGCGAUAAGACCCACUGCAUGGCUCUUCUCUGCGUGGAUUACAUCCAAGGACUUAACAAUCAGCUACCUGAUAACUGUGAGGCAAAACUGCACUCUUCAGGAAGGAUAUAUUAUGUCAAACAUCUCAGUC